rnacentral:rRNA from 1 species
GAUGAAGAACGCAGCGAAAUGCGAUAAGUAAUGUGAAUUGCAGAAUUCAGUGAAUCAUCGAAUCUUUGAACGCACCUUGCGCUCCUUGGUAUUCCGAGGAGCAUGCCUGUUUGAGUGUCAUUAAAUUCUCAAUCCUUUCUGGGUUUAUUCUCAGCUAGGCUUGGAUAUGGGGGUUUUGCUGGCUUUGUACAGACAAAGUCAGCUCUCCUGAAAAACAUUAGCAAGACUGUUGUUGCAACCUUCUAUCUGGUGUGAUAAUUAUCUACAUCAUAGAUUGUAUGCAGUUUAUUAUGUCUGGCUUCUAACAGUCCAUUGAAUUGGACAAAACCUAUGACAAUUUGACCUCAAAUCAGGUAGGACUACCCGCUGAACUUAAGCAUAUCAAUAAGCGGAGGAAAAGAAACUAACAAGGAUUCCCCUAGUAACUGCGAGUGAAGC